rnacentral:rRNA from 1 species
AUCCGGGUUGCGGACAGUGUCUGGUGGGUAGUUUGACUGGGGCGGUCUCCUCCUAAAGAGUAACGGAGGAGCACGAAGGUUAGCUAAUCCUGGUCGGACAUCAGGAGGUUAGUGCAAAGGCAUAAGCUAGCUUGACUGCGAGAGUGACGGCUCGAGCAGGUGCGAAAGCAGGUCUUAGUGAUCCGGUGGUUCUGAAUGGAAGGGCCAUCGCUCAACGGAUAAAAGGUACUCCGGGGAUAACAGGCUGAUACCGCCCAAGAGUUCAUAUCGACGGCGGUGUUUGGCACCUCGAUGUCGGCUCAUCACAUCCUGGGGCUGAAGUAGGUCCCAAGGGUAUGGCUGUUCGCCAUUUAAAGUGGUACGCGAGCUGGGUUUAGAACGUCGUGAGACAGUUCGGUCCCUAUCUGCCGUGGGCGCUGGAGAAUUGAGGGGGGCUGCUCCUAGUACGAGAGGACCGGAGUGGACGCAUCACUGGUGUUCGGGUUGUCAUGCCAAUGGCAUUGCCCGGUAGCUAAAUGCGGAAGAGAUAAGUGCUGAAAGCAUCUAAGCACGAAACUUGCCCCGAGAUGAGUUCUCCCUGACUCCUUGAGAGUCCUGAAGGAACGUU